CCAAUCCUUCCUGGCCACCUGGAGGGCCGGGGCCGCCGGGCGACGGCCCCAGCCCUCCCCAGUGGCCAGGGAGCAGAGC
rnacentral:pre_miRNA from 1 species